rnacentral:tRNA from 1 species
CGCGGGAUAGAGCAGUCUGGUAGCUCGCAAGGCUCAUAACCUUGAGGUCAGUGGUUCAAAUCCACUUCCCGCAACCA